rnacentral:lncRNA from 1 species
CUCUGUUGUCACCUUUGAUCAUUUUAAUGCAUUCUUGCUGAAUAAAAGUAUUAAUUAUUAAAUAAAAAUCAUACUGACCCCACACUUUUAAACAGUAGUGUACAGUAUGCAUUCGUGCAGAUGAAUUACUGUUUACAUGUGUAUAUUUAUGAAAAAGACUGAUAAAUCCAUGACUAUUAUGUCACUCAGACAUUCAAGGAGAAACCAUAACACCAUAAACACACUGGCUAAAAUAUUCAAUUAAAGCUUAAAAAUGAAUAAUUCAAGUUUUUGUUUGGUGGGUAGUCUACCUUUGUCAUUAAGUAUUAUUAUUAUUUUCAUUGUUAAUAUUAUUAUUAUGUGAAUCUUACCACAUUCCCAAAGUUAUGUCUACUGAGCAAUACAUGAACAAUACAUGUCACUUUAGCAAAUCAAGCAGUAAUUUAGGUAUUUUAACUGGGCAGUAGGAAACUGUAAAAAGUGUGACUUGUUUAUUAAACUACAGAUUUAUUAAAGUGCAGGCAAAUCAAGUGCAUAUGUUUGUGUUUUUCAGAAAGACAAACUUGCUGAAGUUGCUCUGAACGUCUUGGCAUCGUAUGACAGGCCAGAAAGACUGCGGAAGGACCAUCGCUCUUUGAAGGCCACAGUAGGAAGCAUAUCCUCCUCGUCCCUCAGCUCCAGCUUUGGCAUUUUUCCUGGAUCUGGUUGCCUGAUUACAGACUUUACGUUUUCACAAGGCAAGUUGUCCUUCACUGAUGCAGCUUUCUAAAGGGGACAAAAAGUGAGCAGGGCCCUUUUGAUGAAGCUUGAACAAAGCACCUGCCAGUUAUAGUCUUACCUUGUCAUCAGAGUCUGUCUGUCUUGUUCUUUUCAUGAUUUCUUCCAGGCGCUGAUUUGGGAAAAAUUUAAAUCACAAUAUACAUUAGGGUUGGUAAGAUUUUCA